rnacentral:rRNA from 1 species
UACGGGGGGGGCAAGCGUUGUUCGGAAUUACUGGGCGUAAAGGGCUCGUAGGCGGCCAACUAAGUCGGAUGUGAAAUCCCCAGGCUCAACCUGGGAACUGCAUCCGAUACUGGAUGGCUUGAAUUCGGGAGAGGGAUGCAGAAUUCCAGGUGUAGCGGUGAAAUGCGUAGAUAUCUGGAGGAAUACCGGUGGCGAAGGCGGCAUCCUGGACCGACAUUGACGCUGAGGCGCGAAAGCCAGGGGAGCAAACGGG